AAGGAUAGUCUCUGGUCUACAUGAAUCAACAGUGAAUUGACUAUUUAUUACCUCCUCUGAUAUCAAUUCAAAACCUUUUUCUGACAUUCUACUGGAUUACAGGCUGACUCUGAAUGGGUAUAUGAAAAUAUAAAAAAGCUCUCUUAAAAUGCUCAAGAAAAUAGCUACAGAAAUCUCCUAGGAUGCUGGGUUAAAGAACUUCCAGGUCAGGUAGACAUUAAUGCAUUUCAGUCCCCGUCCAGCAGGGGGUGCAGCUUCCCAACACAAACACCUUUCCUGAGAAAUGUGGGCUUCCACUGAUCAUUGCUCUGUCUCUCCAAUGCUUCUUCCUGCUACGAAUGAAGCACAUUAUCUACGUGACACUCUAGAGAUGAACUCUUCUCCAGGCUUCGUGACUGUGGUACUCUUGAUGCUUGGACAAACCCACGGAGACUCAGUGACGCAGAUGGAAGGCCCAGUGACCCUCUUCGAAGGGGAGCCCCUGACUAUAAACUGUACUUAUUCAACAGCAGUGUCCCCCACUCUUUUCUGGUAUGUCCAGUAUCCCGGAGAAGGUCCACAGCUGCUCCUGAAAGCCUUGAGGGACAAGGAGAAGGGAAGUCACAAAGGUUUUGAAGCCACCUACGACGGAAAAUCCAAAUCCUUCCACUUGGAGAAGGCCUCAGUGCAAGCGUCAGAUUCGGCUGUGUACUACUGUGUCCUGCGUGACACAGUGACAGGGACUGCAGGGGGAGCUGAACACAAACUCUGAGCAGAACAGGGGCCCAGAUACUGAAUGUCUCUGAUCUUCUCUGGUUCCAGCACAGUGUAUGGUGGUUGCCCCUCAGUGUCUGCUUGAUACGCAAGUCAUACAAAUGGCUAGAGCAUGGGAACCAGAAGGAACACUCCCCAAACCCAGCUGUUCAUUAGUGCAAUAUAAAUGCAAUAGUUCCUAAGCCAGGACCUAAGUAAUUUCAAGGUGGAACCACAUAACAUUGAAGUGGUGUCUUGCUCACCCUGCAGUGAAAGUCCAGCCCCACAAGCUGCUGAGGCCCCCCCGGUGGGUAUUGCUGUGUCCAAUGACACACUGAGAGAGCCAGGGUGUGCCCGAGAAGGUGGUGUCCGCCCCAUGUCUUCCUGACAGAGGAUGGGCAGGAGAGGUGAAGGAAGAGCUGCAGCCCCAAACCAGGUUUGAAUAGAGAAAGAAGGGGCGGGAAGACAGGAGGGGAACAUGUGGAAGUGAGCAAUGAAAAGAGAG